rnacentral:rRNA from 1 species
GCAGGCCGUGCUGCGCGGCUGGAUCGCCCACCCCCCGCGUGGGUAGCUACCCUGGAGUAGCUACCCUGUAGCGGGAGCGGCCCGCCCCGCGGCGCGCCAACAGGCCUGCCGAAGGACCCCUAAACUCUGUUUUGCACCUGUAUCUCUGAGUUUAUUAUACAAAUAAGUUAAAACUUUCAACAACGGAUCUCUUGGUUCUGGCAUCGAUGAAGAACGCAGCGAAAUGCGAUAAGUAAUGUGAAUUGCAGAAUUCAGUGAAUCAUCGAAUCUUUGAACGCACAUUGCGCCUAAUAGUAUUCUGUUAGGCAUGCCUGUUCGAGCGUCAUUUCAACCCCCAAGCCCUAUUUGCUUGACGUUGGGAGUUUACGGAGACGUAAUUCCUCAAAUAUAGUGGCGGAGCUAGGUCGUGCUCUAAGCGUAGUAACCAAAUUCUCGCUUCUGAAGCCGGCCCGGGUCCUGCCGUAAAACCCCCUAUAUUUUUCUGGUUGACCUCGGAUCAGGUAGGAAUACCCGCUGAACUUAAGCAUAUCAAUAAGCGGAGGAAAAGAAACCAACAGGGAUUGCCCUAGUAACGGCGAGUGAAGCGGCAACAGCUCAAAUUUGAAAUCUGGCCUUCGGGUCCACUAAGCCUCUGUAAAGCUCCUUCGACGAGUCGAGUAGUUUGGGAAUGCUGCUCUAAAUGGGAGGUAAAUUUCUUCUAAAGCUAAAUACCGGCCAGAGACCGAUAGCGCACAAGUAGAGUGAUCGAAAGAUGAAAAGCACUUUGAAAAGAGGGUUAAAUAGCACGUGAAAUUGUUGAAAGGGAAGCGUUUACGGCCAGACCUUUUCCUGGCGGAUCAUCUGGUGUUCUCACCAGUGCACUUCGCCAGGUUUAGGCCAGCAUCGGCUUCUGUAGGGGGAUAAAAGC